UUAAAAUACACAAUUUACAGACACUGUGUCCUAUCAAUGUAUCUACUUGAUACAAACUAAAUCAUCCUUAAACGACACAAUUUACAGACACUGUGUCUUAUCAAUGUAUCUACUUGAUACACACUAAAUUAACCUUAAAAGACACAAUUUACAGACACUUUGUCCUAUCAAUGUAUCUACUUGAUACAAACUAAAUUAUUCUCAUAAGACACAAUUUACAGACACUGUUUCCUAACAAUGUAUCUACUUGAUACAAACUAAAUUAUCCUUAAAAGACAUAAUUUACAGACACUGUGUCAUAUCAAUGUAUCUACUAGAUACAAACUAAAUUAUCCUAAAAAGACACAAUUUACAGACACUUUGUCCUAUCAAUGUAUCUACUUGAUACAAACUAAAUUAUCCUUAUCAGACACAAUUUACAGACACUGUGUCAUAUCAAUGUAUCUACUUGAUACAAACUAAAUUAU
rnacentral:lncRNA from 1 species